GACGAACGCUGGCGGCGUGCCUAAUACAUGCAAGUAGAACGCUGAAGAGAGGAGCUUGCUCUUCUUGGAUGAGUUGCGAACGGGUGAGUAACGCGUAGGUAACCUGCCUGGUAGCGGGGGAUAACUAUUGGAAACGAUAGCUAAUACCGCAUAAAAUUGAUUAUUGCAUGAUAAUUAAUUGAAAGAUGCAACUGCAUCACUACCAGAUGGACCUGCGUUGUAUUAGCUAGUUGGUGAGGUAACGGCUCACCAAGGCGACGAUACAUAGCCGACCUGAGAGGGUGAUCGGCCACACUGGGACUGAGACACGGCCCAGACUCCUACGGGAGGCAGCAGUAGGGAAUCUUCGGCAAUGGGGGGAACCCUGACCGAGCAACGCCGCGUGAGUGAAGAAGGUUUUCGGAUCGUAAAGCUCUGUUGUAAGAGAAGAACGGGUGUGAGAGUGGAAAGUUCACACUGUGACGGUAUCUUACCAGAAAGGGACGGCUAACUACGUGCCAGCAGCCGCGGUAAUACGUAGGUCCCGAGCGUUGUCCGGAUUUAUUGGGCGUAAAGCGAGCGCAGGCGGUUAGAUAAGUCUGAAGUUAAAGGCUGUGGCUUAACCAUAGUAUGCUUUGGAAACUGUUUAACUUGAGUGCAGAAGGGGAGAGUGGAAUUCCAUGUGUAGCGGUGAAAUGCGUAGAUAUAUGGAGGAACACCGGUGGCGAAAGCGGCUCUCUGGUCUGUAACUGACGCUGAGGCUCGAAAGCGUGGGGAGCAAACAGGAUUAGAUACCCCGGUAGUCCACGCCGUAAACGAUGAGUGCUAGGUGUUAGGCCCUUUCCGGGGCUUAGUGCCGCAGCUAACGCAUUAAGCACUCCGCCUGGGGAGUACGACCGCAAGGUUGAAACUCAAAGGAAUUGACGGGGGCCCGCACAAGCGGUGGAGCAUGUGGUUUAAUUCGAAGCAACGCGAAGAACCUUACCAGGUCUUGACAUCCCUCUGACCGCUCUAGAGAUAGAGUUUUCCUUCGGGACAGAGGUGACAGGUGGUGCAUGGUUGUCGUCAGCUCGUGUCGUGAGAUGUUGGGUUAAGUCCCGCAACGAGCGCAACCCCUAUUGUUAGUUGCCAUCAUUCAGUUGGGCACUCUAGCGAGACUGCCGGUAAUAAACCGGAGGAAGGUGGGGAUGACGUCAAAUCAUCAUGCCCCUUAUGACCUGGGCUACACAAGUGCUACAAUGGCUGGUACAACGAGUCGCAAGCCGGUGACGGCAAGCUAAUCUCUGAAAGCCAGUCUCAGUUCGGAUUGUAGGCUGCAACUCGCCUACAUGAAGUCGGAAUCGCUAGUAAUCGCGGAUCAGCACGCCGCGGUGAAUACGUUCCCGGGCCU
rnacentral:rRNA from 1 species